UACAGAGGGUGCUAGCGUUGUUCGGAAUCAUUGGGCGUAAAGGGCGUGUAGGCGGUUUGUUAAGUCAUGUGUGAAAUCCCUCGGCUCAACCGGGGAACGACGCAUGAAACUGGCAGCUAGAGUACCAAAGAGGGGGGUGGAAUUCCCGGGUGUAGCGGUGAAAUGCGUAGAUAUCGGGAGGAACACCUGUGGCGAAGGCGGCCCCCUGGUUGGAGUACUGACGCUGAUACGCGAAAGCGUGGGGAGCAAACAGG
rnacentral:rRNA from 1 species